GGGUUGUGAGGUUAAGCGACUAAGCGUACACGGUGGAUGCCCUGGCAGUCAGAGGCGAUGAAGGACGUGCUAAUCUGCGAUAAGCGUCGGUAAGGUGAUAUGAACCGUUAUAACCGGCGAUUUCCGAAUGGGGAAACCCAGUGUGAUUCGUCACACUAUCAUUAACUGAAUCCAUAGGUUAAUGAGGCGAACCGGGGGAACUGAAACAUCUAAGUACCCCGAGGAAAAGAAAUCAACCGAGAUUCCCCCAGUAGCGGCGAGCGAACGGGGAGCAGCCCAGAGCCUGAAUCAGUGUGUGUGUUAGUGGAAGCGUCUGGAAAGGCGCGCGAUACAGGGUGACAGCCCCGUACACAAAAAUGCACAUACUGUGAGCUCGAUGAGUAGGGCGGGACACGUGGUAUCCUGUCUGAAUAUGGGGGACCAUCCUCCAAGGCUAAAUACUCCUGACUGACCGAUAGUGAACCAGUACCGUGAGGGAAAGGCGAAAAGAACCCCGGCGAGGGGAGUGAAAAAGAACCUGAAACCGUGUACGUACAAGCAGUGGGAGCACGCUUAGGCGUGUGACUGCGUACCUUUUGUAUAAUGGGUCAGCGACUUAUAUUCUGUAGCAAGGUUAACCGAAUAGGGGAGCCGAAGGGAAACCGAGUCUUAACUGGGCGUUAAGUUGCAGGGUAUAGACCCGAAACCCGGUGAUCUAGCCAUGGGCAGGUUGAAGGUUGGGUAACACUAACUGGAGGACCGAACCGACUAAUGUUGAAAAAUUAGCGGAUGACUUGUGGCUGGGGGUGAAAGGCCAAUCAAACCGGGAGAUAGCUGGUUCUCCCCGAAAGCUAUUUAGGUAGCGCCUCGUGAAUUCAUCUCCGGGGGUAGAGCACUGUUUCGGCAAGGGGGUCAUCCCGACUUACCAACCCGAUGCAAACUGCGAAUACCGGAGAAUGUUAUCACGGGAGACACACGGCGGGUGCUAACGUCCGUCGUGAAGAGGGAAACAACCCAGACCGCCAGCUAAGGUCCCAAAGUCAUGGUUAAGUGGGAAACGAUGUGGGAAGGCCCAGACAGCCAGGAUGUUGGCUUAGAAGCAGCCAUCAUUUAAAGAAAGCGUAAUAGCUCACUGGUCGAGUCGGCCUGCGCGGAAGAUGUAACGGGGCUAAACCAUGCACCGAAGCUGCGGCAGCGACGCUGAUGCGUUGUUGGGUAGGGGAGCGUUCUGUAAGCCUGUGAAGGUGUGCUGUGAGGCAUGCUGGAGGUAUCAGAAGUGCGAAUGCUGACAUAAGUAACGAUAAAGCGGGUGAAAAGCCCGCUCGCCGGAAGACCAAGGGUUCCUGUCCAACGUUAAUCGGGGCAGGGUGAGUCGACCCCUAAGGCGAGGCCGAAAGGCGUAGUCGAUGGGAAACAGGUUAAUAUUCCUGUACUUGGUGUUACUGCGAAGGGGGACGGAGAAGGCUAUGUUGGCCGGGCGACGGUUGUCCCGGUUUAAGCGUGUAGGCUGGUUUUCCAGGCAAAUCCGGAAAAUCAAGGCUGAGGCGUGAUGACGAGGCACUACGGUGCUGAAGCAACAAAUGCCCUGCUUCCAGGAAAAGCCUCUAAGCAUCAGGUAACAUCAAAUCGUACCCCAAACCGACACAGGUGGUCAGGUAGAGAAUACCAAGGCGCUUGAGAGAACUCGGGUGAAGGAACUAGGCAAAAUGGUGCCGUAACUUCGGGAGAAGGCACGCUGAUAUGUAGGUGAAGCGACUUGCUCGUGGAGCUGAAAUCAGUCGAAGAUACCAGCUGGCUGCAACUGUUUAUUAAAAACACAGCACUGUGCAAACACGAAAGUGGACGUAUACGGUGUGACGCCUGCCCGGUGCCGGAAGGUUAAUUGAUGGGGUCAGCGCAAGCGAAGCUCUUGAUCGAAGCCCCGGUAAACGGCGGCCGUAACUAUAACGGUCCUAAGGUAGCGAAAUUCCUUGUCGGGUAAGUUCCGACCUGCACGAAUGGCGUAAUGAUGGCCAGGCUGUCUCCACCCGAGACUCAGUGAAAUUGAACUCGCUGUGAAGAUGCAGUGUACCCGCGGCAAGACGGAAAGACCCCGUGAACCUUUACUAUAGCUUGACACUGAACAUUGAGCCUUGAUGUGUAGGAUAGGUGGGAGGCUUUGAAGUGUGGACGCCAGUCUGCAUGGAGCCGACCUUGAAAUACCACCCUUUAAUGUUUGAUGUUCUAACGUUGACCCGUAAUCCGGGUUGCGGACAGUGUCUGGUGGGUAGUUUGACUGGGGCGGUCUCCUCCUAAAGAGUAACGGAGGAGCACGAAGGUUGGCUAAUCCUGGUCGGACAUCAGGAGGUUAGUGCAAUGGCAUAAGCCAGCUUGACUGCGAGCGUGACGGCGCGAGCAGGUGCGAAAGCAGGUCAUAGUGAUCCGGUGGUUCUGAAUGGAAGGGCCAUCGCUCAACGGAUAAAAGGUACUCCGGGGAUAACAGGCUGAUACCGCCCAAGAGUUCAUAUCGACGGCGGUGUUUGGCACCUCGAUGUCGGCUCAUCACAUCCUGGGGCUGAAGUAGGUCCCAAGGGUAUGGCUGUUCGCCAUUUAAAGUGGUACGCGAGCUGGGUUUAGAACGUCGUGAGACAGUUCGGUCCCUAUCUGCCGUGGGCGCUGGAGAACUGAGGGGGGCUGCUCCUAGUACGAGAGGACCGGAGUGGACGCAUCACUGGUGUUCGGGUUGUCAUGCCAAUGGCACUGCCCGGUAGCUAAAUGCGGAAGAGAUAAGUGCUGAAAGCAUCUAAGCACGAAACUUGCCCCGAGAUGAGUUCUCCCUGACUCCUUGAGAGUCCUGAAGGAACGUUGAAGACGACGACGUUGAUAGGCCGGGUGUGUAAGCGCAGCGAUGCGUUGAGCUAACCGGUACUAAUGAACCGUGAGGCUUAACCUUACAACGCCGAAGCUGUU
rnacentral:rRNA from 1 species